rnacentral:rRNA from 1 species
CUUAAGCAUAUCAAUAAGCGGAGGAAAAGAAACCAACAGGGAUUGCCCCAGUAACGGCGAGUGAAGCGGCACCAGCUCAAAUUUGAAAUCUGGGGCCCUCGGCCUCCGAGUUGUAAUUUGGAGAGGCAUCCUUCUGGGGGGAGCGCCGGCCCAUGUUCCUUGGAACAGGACGUCACAGAGGGUGAGAAUCCCGUGUCAGGCAGGCUGCCUCCUCCCGUGUGAAGGGCCUUCGACGAGUCGAGUUGUUUGGGAAUGCAGCUCCAAGUGGGUGGUAAAUUUCAUCUAAAGCUAAAUACCGGCGGGAGACCGAUAGCGCACAAGUAGAGUGAUCGAAAGAUGAAAAGCACUUUGAAAAUAGAGUCAAAAAGUACGUGAAAUUGUUGAAAGGGAAGCGCUUGAGACCAGACUCAGGCCCGGGCAAACACCGCGCCCCUUGGGGCCGUGCAAUUGCCCGGGGCUGGGCCAGCAUCAGUUGGUGUGGCGGGACAAAGGCGCAGGCAAUGUGGCUCCCCUCGAGGAGUGUUAUUAGGCCCGCGCUCAAUGCCGCCGACGUCGACUGAGGACCGCGCCUCGGCUAGGAUGCUGGCUCAAUGGCCUUCAGCGACCCGUCUUGAAACACGGACCAAGGAGUCUAACAUCUAUGCGAGUGUUUGGGCGUCAAACCCUUGCGCGUAAUGAAAGUGAGCGGAGGUGGGAACCCCUCGCGGGGCGCACCAUCGACCGAUCCUGAUGUCUUCGGAUGGAUUUGAGUAGGAGCAUAGCUGUUGGGACCCGAAAGAUGGUGAACUAUGCCUGAAUAGGGUGAAGCCAGAGGAAACUCUGGUGGAGGCUCGCAGCGGUUCUGACGUGCAAAUCGAUCGUCAAAUUUGGGUAUAGGGGCGAAA